rnacentral:lncRNA from 1 species
UUAGGAGUAUGGAGGCCUCCGUACUCCCAAGCCGUUUUCGAUGAUGGAGCUUCUGAAUCGAUGAUUGGCUCCGUUAGACUUGAUCUCAAAAUUAAAGUAUCUAGAAAAUAAAUUUUGUGAUUUUUCAAUAUCAUUUACCUUGCUAUCGAAAGGAUUCAAAAUCAAGGGCUGAAAAUAAAAAUCUCACAAAAAGUGGUGAUAUUGCAUUAAAAUUUUUUAUCAGAGAUAUUGAUCUUGCUGUAAAUAGUAUAAAGAAUUUUGUAUCAAAAUUUCAUCUGAUUUGAAUACUUUUACACAGUUAAACUUGCAAACGAAAUACAUCAACCAUUAAAAAUUAUUGAUUUUGAACCCUUUUGAUCGCUAGGUAAAUAAUAACGAAAAAUCGCAAAAUUUAUUUUCUAGAUAUCUCAAAUAUGCUAGAUCAAGUCUAACGGAGCCGAUCGUCGAUUCGGAAGUCCCAUCAUCGAAAACGGCUUAGGAGCACGGAGGCCUCCGUGCUCCUAAUA